rnacentral:lncRNA from 1 species
AUAUGAUUCAUGUAGUUCUGAGCUGAGAGCAAAGCUACAGUAUUGAAAUGGACUAAUGUUUUCUAGGUCAGGGUUAACCUGAGUUACAAAAUCUUCCUGAAAAGCUACUCUGAAGCCCUUUAGACCUGUUGGAAUGGUGGCAUACAGUGAACCUGUGAAGGACUAUGUCUAAACUAAGAAGUCACACAAAUGCCCACUUCUCUGUACACAGCAAGCUUCAUUCUCACACUUUCAGAUGAACAGGCUGCUUCCCACUUAAUGCAGCUGUCAGUGAGAUUUUAACUAUUUCCGUCUCAAACCUUGCUUCUUUGUCUGUGUCUAAUGUUUCCUGGCAGAUGACCAGAACACUGUAAGAUUAUGUUGAGAAGAUGGAUAGGGAACUCUGUUUCUUGUGGCAGAAGAACUAGAGGAAUCCAGUGAAAUUUCCAGGCAGGAGGUUUUAGUGGAAGCAACAGACAGAAUCUUUCUGUGCAACACUGAGUUGCUCUGUUGGAUUCAGUACCGCAGAAUGCUAUGGGAUGCUGGUAAAUUCUGUGAAAGCCUUGCUUUGAACUGGCUUUUUUUCAAUUCAUAUUUUUAUUACAGGUGAUAGAUGUCUGAACUAAUCCAAAUGCAUGGUGUUUGGCAAAGUUAUGGAAGAGCAUGACCUCACAGCCAGUAAAGUGGUUUGUUUUGUGAAUGAAAGCUGGAUGCCUUUAGCAGGAUGGCAUUAACACUGACCUCUGCUCAUGCAUUGAAUUCCUGCCCAGUGGGAGAGCUGGAGAAGAUGCAGAGGGCAAGUCAAAACCCAGAAGGUUCACAAAGCACAACUAGUCUACAAGGACUAGUUUGAGCUACUCUCACCAGCUAAGACAACACUUCUCUAUAAGAUGUGCUCGUGGGGAGGAGAGGAGUGGCCAUCUCGGGUAGCUGCCGCAUCUGAAGUGCAAUGGUGUCAGACGUGACUCACAGCAUUUCCUGGACAGUUUCUGCGAUGUGUGGAGCAUAGAAACUCCUCAGUCCCAUUCUUU